UCCAGCCAAAAUUGGUCCGCUCCGCUGGGCUUUUUUCCCCCAUACAGGGGCUGAAUCUUUUGUGUACGCAUGCGUCUUGCCCAGGCUGCGGUUGGCUGACGACUCCAGCCGUCAUUGGAAGAACCAAUGGGCUCAGGGAGAAGGGAGGUAAAGUCUGCAAUGACCCUGAGAGGGAGGCAGGACUGGUACGGAUCGCUGCAUUUUGCAGAUGAGGAGCCCAAGGCACGAAGACACUGUGUGACUUACCUGACUCCCGUGUGUUCUUGCAGCAACCAAGGCAUUAACCGUAGGAGAAUCCCUCCUAUGGCUUCUAACCAGACAAUUCUCCUUAGUCUGGGGCUGCCUCUGCUUCUGACAGAGCACCUGGAAGAUACUCUCACCUGAAAACCCCACCUCAGACACCUUGAAACGCCCCCCACCGCAGGCUAACUGCCUUCUUUCCUGCUGAGGGGAAGCUCCGGGCUCACACGGUGGCAGGGCCACGCCGUCCUUCUUUCUCCCCCUCAGCUGACCGACCGCACCAAAGAAACCAGAACCCAAGCCGAAGUAUCAGAAACGUGUAUUCUUUUUCUUUUAAUAGUAAACCUCUUUACAACAAAUAUAGUGAAAGAGUUUUCAAACAAAACUCAUAAGAAUCUCGAGGACUUUGUCUUUUCUUAUUGUGUAGAAUACUAAGAAAGCAUCACCAUACAGCACGAAAAGAAAUAUUGAAAACAAAUCAACAGCCACACACUUGGACUCGCCCUGCCCAGGACCCAGGAGGAGCCCCAGGAGUGUGGGUGAUUGUCGGGUUUGGGGGUGGGGCAUCUCCAUGGCCUGUCCCCCCUACCUCUCCCCCCUCCCUCUGGGACCUGAAUGGGGAAGACAUCUGAGAGAAUCCAGAUUCUCCGUAUAACAUUCCAGCCCCCUCCCCCCAUACAAAUCCCAUUCCUUCUACAACUGCUUAGGGGGUGGAGAGAGGUGGCAGAGGGGGGAUGAGGAGUUCCCAGGCUCCCUGUCUCCUCCUCUCCAUGAAAGCCUAAAUUCACCCCCCCCCCCAGGGGAUUUCAAAGAGUCAGUUAAAAAUAUAUAGAUAUAGAUAUUUCUAGAUACACUUUUACAUCAUUUCUGUCUCUCCAAACAAAUAAAUAAUCAGCAAGAGAAGGUGCAUUACUUCCUUCCUGUCCAAGGUGGGGAGGGCUGGGUAAAGGUCAGGGGUCAGUCUCGCUGCAUUGAGUGCACUGCUGCGGGGAGGGGAAAUGGUGUGUUCCAUUCGUGGGGGGGUGGGGGGGUCCUCUUGCCCACUGUCCCUGAAAGCUGUGGGAAACCUGUGGAUGGGAGGGGCGUUGGAUGACUCCAGUGAUUACUUUGGCAAAUGCCCAGUUCUUCAGAGGAAGGAGUGGGUGGAGGCAAAUUUGGCUUGUGAGAGGAAGAACAAACGAAGUCCUGCUUGAGGUCUGGGUUCCCAGGGACCCAUUCAUCUGGCCGGCCAGGAGCCCCUACCCCCCAGAGAAACCUUGGGAUACUGAAUUGCAGAAAUGUCACAUAUUCAUUCACAGACCACCGCCUGUCCCAGGGAUAGAGAAGAAGAGACACACAUCCACACAUGGUAAUCUAAAGCCAGGUUUGCCCCUACAAGGCAGAGGGCAAAACUGGUGAAUAUUGCACCGUGAACUGCAGGGGCCCUCACCCCCACCCCGUGUUUAAUGGUGGCCAAGUCCAGCCUAGACAGGUGGGCAGACUGAUGGCAGGAGUAGCCUAAGAAGAGAAGGCCAAUCAUUCAAUGUUUAUUGAGCACCUAUCAUUCAACCAUUCACCCGUUCAGCAUUUAUUGAGUGCCAACUCUGUGCUAGGCACUGGGCAAGGCUCUGGGAUGCAUGCAUGCACAAGACUGCACCCUGGCUCCUUUUGAGGCCCUGAUCAAGUCUCAUCGAUUCUUGAAACUCCCUCUAGGAACGUUCAGGAAGACUGGACAUGCUGUGUGCCCAAUCAGCAGGGGGUUAAGCUGUGAGCAAAGAAGGAUCACUGCCCAGGCGAGGACCAAGCUUCAGGGAGGAAGAGGAACUUGAGUUCACCCUGACAGCAGGACUGGGGUGGGGGAAGAGCAUACUCCAGGAAAGGGAACCUUGUGAGAAGGUGUGAGGACCGACUGGACAAUUGUGUGUGGAGCUCUGGGACAGGCAGGGCUGUAGGGAGAAGCAAAGAGGCCAAGAGCCAGAUCCCCGCUAACUGCAGUAUCAACAAAUCCGAGCUGAGGGUGAGGACAGGCAAAGGAGCAGGGGAGAAGGGAGCAGGGCUCAGGAAGGAGGGCUAUGGAGCUGGAAG